rnacentral:rRNA from 1 species
UCAUAUGCUUGUCUCAAAGAUUAAGCCAUGCAUGUCUCAGUMCAAGCCAAAUUAAGGUGAAACCGCGAAAGGCUCAUUAAAUCAGUUAUGGUUCCUUAGAUCGUACCCACAAUUACUUGGAUAACUGUGGUAAUUCUAGAGCUAAUACAUGCAAACAGAGCUCCGACCGGAGACGGAAGGAGUGCUUUUAUUAGAUCAAAACCAAUCGGUGGCGGGUUCGCUCGUCAUCGUACAACAUGGUGACUCUGAAUAACUUUACGCUGAUCGCACGGUCAUCGCACCGGCGACGCGUCUUUCAAAUGUCUGCCUUAUCAACUGUCGAUGGUAGGUUCUGCGCCUACCAUGGUUGUAACGGGUAACGGGGAAUCAGGGUUCGAUUCCGGAGAGGGAGCCUGAGAAACGGCUACCACAUCCAAGGAAGGCAGCAGGCGCGCAAAUUACCCACUCCCGGCACGGGGAGGUAGUGACGAAAAAUAACGAUACGGGACUCAUCCGAGGCCCCGUAAUCGGAAUGAGUACACUCUAAACCCUUUAACGAGGAUCAAUUGGAGGGCAAGUCUGGUGCCAGCAGCCGCG